rfam:Canis lupus familiaris chromosome 17, whole genome shotgun sequence.
GGAUGUGAGGGCAAUCUGGCUGCGACAUCCGUCACCACAUUCAUCGCCAGGGUUGAUUUGGCUGAUCUGGCUGCCUAGGUGGGUGUCCCCUUCCUCUGUCACCACUCCAUGUGCAUCCCUCCCGAAGCUACUGUGCCCUCAGGGGAAGAAGAUGACCAUCCCCAAUAGAGGAGGACCGUCCUUCAGUCAAGGGUAUACAAGUAGCAAAACAAAAUCCUGCAUUCCCAUCUAGUGCUCCCCUGCU